rnacentral:rRNA from 1 species
CGCUGGCGGCGUGCUUAACACAUGCAAGUCGAACGGAAGUAAGAGCUUCGGUUUUACUUUAGUGGCGAACGGGUGAGUAACGCGUGGGUAACCUGCCUCAUACAGGGGGAUAACAGUUAGAAAUGACUGCUAAUACCGCAUAAGCGCACAGGACCGCAUGGUCUGGUGUGAAAAACUCCGGUGGUAUGAGAUGGACCCGCGUCUGAUUAGCUAGUUGGUGGGGUAACGGCCUACCAAGGCGACGAUCAGUAGCCGGCCUGAGAGGGUGAACGGCCACAUUGGGACUGAGACACGGCCCAAACUCCUACGGGAGGCAGCAGUGGGGAAUAUUGCACAAUGGGGGAAACCCUGAUGCAGCGACGCCGCGUGAGUGAAGAAGUAUUUCGGUAUGUAAAGCUCUAUCAGCAGGGAAGAAAAUGACGGUACCUGACUAAGUAGCACCGGCUAAAUACGUG